AGCAGGGCGGGCGGUCGCGGCUGCAAGUCCCGAAAGGGCGCAGACGAGGAAAGUCCGGGCUUCACAGGGCAGGAUGCCGGAUAACGUCCGGUGGAGGUGACUCCCAGGCCAGUGCAACAGAGAUAUACCGCGAAGCAGGUAAGAGACUACCGUCUUCGUGGUAACACGGAGAGCCAUGUAAACCCCAUCCGAAGCAAGACCGAAUAGAGAGCUAUGAGCUUGCCCGGCUCGCUCUCAGGUGGGUCGCUUGAGGCCGUCGGCGACGGCGGUCCUAGAUAGAUGACCGUUCAAGACAUAACCCGGCUUACAGCUCUGCUUAU
rnacentral:RNase_P_RNA from 1 species